AUACCGUCACACCCACUUUCCCCCUAAUUAAUUGUUUCUAAAAAUCUUCAAGAACAAGAAGAAUCAAAUUAUCAAAGAAUGCGGGAAAAGUUCCAUGGAUUGGAUGGUCAUUCACUUCACCAGUCUCUGUUCUUAAGAUGAUGAAUGACUAGUAUGGUUCAGUAGUUCAGGUCAAUCAGCUCAUUAACUUUUAGGCGUCUGUCUUCUCACUAGUGGAAAUUAAUCAUUUUAAAGCUCUUCAAAUCAAAUAAUUUGAAAUCGUAUUAUUCAUUAUUAGUUGCUGUAAAUAAUAAUUAUUAUUGUACUAAUUUGAUCCAUUCUGGUCUAAUUUUGAUAUUAUUCCA